GAUGAACGCUGGCGGCGUGCCUAAUACAUGCAAGUCGAGCGAAUGAAUUAAGAGCUUGCUCUUAUGAAGUUAGCGGCGGACGGGUGAGUAACACGUGGGUAACCUGCCCAUAAGACUGGGAUAACUCCGGGAGACCGGGGCUAAUACCGGAUAACAUUUUGAACCGCAUGGUUCGAAAUUGAAAGGCGGCUUCGGCUGUCACUUAUGGAGGGACCCGCGUCGCAUUAGCUAGUUGGUGAGGUAACGGCUCUCCAAGGCAACGAUGCGUAGCCGAACUGAGAGGGUGAUCGGCCACACUGGGACUGAGACACGGCCCAGACUCCUACGGGAGGCAGCAGUAGGGAAUCUUCCGCAAUGGACGAAAGUCUGACGGAGCAACGCCGCGUGAGUGAUGAAGGCUUUCGGGUCGUAAAACUCUGUUGUUAGGGAAGAACAAGUGCUAGUUGAAUAAGCUGGCACCUUGACGGUACCUAACCAGAAAGCCACGGCUAACUACGUGCCAGCCGCCGCCGUAA
rnacentral:rRNA from 1 species